UCGAAACCUGCCCAGCAGAACGACCCGUGAACAUGUUUGUAAAUUAAGGGGUCACCGCUGGAUUUGUCCAGCGUUGGUCCCUCACGGGGCCUAGGCGAGGGAUGCAGGAGCGGGCUCUGCCUUGCCUCUGCAACCCUUGCUCACGGCCUCCUAACAAAACCCCGGCGCCAAACGCGUCAAGGAAUUGCAAACGAAAAGAUCGCACGCCCUGGGCGCCCCGGAAACGGUGAGCGCACAGAAAGCGUAGCACUUUGAGAACCAAAACGACUCUCGGCAACGGAUAUCUCGGCUCUCGCAUCGAUGAAGAACGCAGCGAAAUGCGAUACUUGGUGUGAAUUGCAGGAUCCCGCGAACCAUCGAGUCUUUGAACGCAAGUUGCGCCCGAAGCCUUUUGGCCGAGGGCACGUCUGCCUGGGUGUCACUCAAUCGUCGCCCCAACCACCUCCCUCGUGAGGGAUGUUGGCGGGGCGGAUGCUGGCUUCCCGUGUGCAUCAGUUCGCGGUUGGCCCAAAUGCUCGGUCCUUGGCGGCCACGCCAUGAUAAUCGGUGGUUGAAAGACCCUCGUUAAUCGUCGUGUGCGCUUGGUCGACCAUGCAGACCUAUGAGACCCCAAAGCGUACCCAAGGGUGUGCUUGCUUUGCGACCCCAGGU
rnacentral:rRNA from 1 species